rnacentral:misc_RNA from 1 species
CAUGAUUUAUCUUUUCAACAAACCGUGAACUUUAUAUAUACUAUUCGUGUGUGAAUUUUAACUUCGGUUACUUUUCAUCACACCGUCAUUCGAUCUGAACAUAAGAUAGUUGGCUCGUUUGUUUAAUUUAUUAAACAAACUUUCUCAGCUUGAUUUGUUUUUGUACUUAAAACAUACAUUACAAAUCACCAAUAAAACAUAGAAA